AAAGAAGCUUGCAAAAACACAUUCUUUUUAAAUCAACUUGCUUCUUUCUAAUCAAUAUUAGUUAACUACCUCCACUAUGAAUGCUAUUCUACACUAUUCUACACUGUCACACACCAUUGAAGUUAAAUACUGCUUAUUAAUAUGACCUUGGUGAAACAUGUGAGUACAGCCGCUCAAUUCACUGAACAUCUGAUCUUUUUCAUCCAUACUUUGCAAAAAGAAGCUGUAAUAUUAGUACAGCUGCUCUGCCCACCGAACGGUCGUCAUAUUGAGCUGUACUUUUUAAAAAAAGUGGAGAUCCGUACAAAAAGAACGAGUACACACGGCCACACCGAACAGGUCCCAAG
rnacentral:sRNA from 1 species